CGCGCAGCCGGCCGGCCGGACGGCGGCGCCGCCGUCCGCCAGGAAGCGACUCAGGAACGUCGACGCGCCCACCCCACCGGAGAAGAGGCCACGGGCAGCCGCCGCGACGGAGCGCGCCAGGGAUCUACUGAAGGGGGUCAACAUCAUGUCCUUCCUCGCCAAGAUUCACAACGUCGGCGCAAGCGAUGUGGCGGUGUGAGCCUGGUGACCAACGAGCGCUCCGACCAUUCCAGUUAUCUUGCGUGUCAAACGCAGUCUUGCCAUUCUCAGGGCCAUUUGUAUCAGGCUGACUUCCGCUGAGACGCUUGUCGAAAUCAUUGCUACUAUGAUUCAUCGCGAGGUGAACAGGGGCUUGCGUGCAGAAGAAGUUUCACUAGCCCUGGGCGGCAAGAUGUGGAUUCCACGGCACGCAGGCCAGCUUACUUGGGCAGUAGCAGCCUCGAGACGAUUACAGGCUGUGCAUUGUACGUCAGCAGGGCGGCGGCAUUUGGGGGAGGGGGAAGAGGCUGAACAACUGGCUGAUUCUCGCUGGUGAAGACGGCUCAGCCUCAGCCCCCCGGCGAUGCGUCUUUCAUGAGUGGUGCCAUCGUGGGUGGGGAGUCGUGCCGUGCCAAUACAGACGCCGCUGGCA